rnacentral:lncRNA from 1 species
CUUGGACAGGUCACUCUGUCCACUGUGAUGAUUCUUCCUCAACAGCUCAGCCUUGGACAGGUUACUCUGUCCACUGUGAUUCUUCCUCAACAGCUCAGCCUUGGACAGGUCACUCUGUCCACUGUGAUUCUUCCUCAACAGCUCAGCCUUGGACAGGUCACUCUGUCCACUGUGAUUCUUCCUCAACAGCUCAGCCUUGGACAGGUCUCUCUGUCCAAUGUGAUUCUUCCUCAACAGCUCAGCCUUGGACAAGUACCUCUGUCCACUGUGAUUCUUCCUCAACAGCUCAGCCUUGGACAAGUACCUCUGUCCACUGUGAUUCUUCCUCAAUAGCUCAGCCUUGGACAGGUCCCUCUGUCCACUGUGAUUCUUCCUCAACAGCUCAGCCUUGGACAUGUCCCUCUGUCCACUGUGAUUCUUCCUCAACAGCUCAGCCUUGGACAUGUCCCUCUGUCCACUGUGAUUCUUCCUCAACAGCUCAGCCUUGGACAUGUCCCUCUCUCCACUGUGAUUCUUCCUCAACAGCUCAGCCUUGGACAUGUCCCUCUCUCCACUGUGAACAAUGCCAAUGUGAAUCAAUGUGAAUCACACACAAUGUCAAUGUGAAUCACACACAAUGUGAAUUAUAGACUACAUGGGUCAUUGUAUUCCUACAUUACCAUAGCUAGCCUGUUGAUACUAGCUAAUAUUAGCCAUUAGAAUGAAUGGAUUAAAGUGAAUGUAGCCAGAUACAUGUUUCCUGUCUAUUCCCUGUGGUGCAGUUUUUUAGAGACUAUUACUGAUACUAACACAUUCAGUGUCUUCUAACCUCUUUUGUUGUUGACAACAGAAGUGUGUCCAUGUCGCCGUCCCUUCAUGUGUAAUAGGAUCCUUAUGGCUGACAGCGGUGCUUUCUACCCUACUGCGGCUGUUCUGUGAUUGUCACGGUUAAGCAAUCAAUCAAUCCCACUUAUUUAUAAAGCCUUUUUUACAUCAGCAGAUGUCACAAAGUACUUAUACAGAAACCCAG